rnacentral:piRNA from 1 species
UGGACUUUCACAAUCUGAGUCUCCUGCUAU